ACAUCAAGUUGUUCUCAACUCGUCUCAACAUCCCCAAGCUAAUACGUGCUUGUGAUGAACAACAGCAUUGGAAGGAACUGACAUAUUUAUACAUCCAAUAUGAUGAAUUUGACAAUGCUGCAACCACUAUAAUGAACCACUCUCCAGAAGCAUGGGACCACAUGCAAUUUAAAGAUGUUGUAGUGAAAGUUGCAAAUGUUGAGCUCUACUACAAGGCUGUGCACUUUUAUUUGCAAGAGCAUCCAGACCUAAUCAAUGAUCUUCUUAAUGUGAUUGC
rnacentral:lncRNA from 1 species